AGAGUUUGAUCCUGGCUCAGAAUCAACGCUGGCGCGCGCCUAACACAUGCAAGUCGAACGAGAAAGGGGAGCAAUCCCUGAGUACAGUGGCGUACGGGUGAGUAACACGUGGGUAAUCUACCUCUUAGCGGGGAAUAACCCGGCGAAAGCUGGGAUAAUACCGCAUAAGCCCGAGAGGGGAAACGCGAAAGCGGCUGAGA
rnacentral:rRNA from 1 species